AACGAACGCUGGCGGCAGGCCUAACACAUGCAAGUCGAGCGCCCCGCAAGGGGAGCGGCGGACGGGUGAGUAACGCGUGGGAACGUGCCCUUUGGUUCGUAAUAACGUUUGGAAACGAACGCUAAUACCGGAUGAGCCCUACGGGGGAAAGAUUUAUCGCCAAAGGAGCAGCCCGCGUCUGAUUAGCUAGUUGGUGGGGUAAAGGCCUACCAAGGCGACGAUCAGUAGCUGGUCUGAGAGGAUGAUCAGCCACACUGGGACUGAGACACGGCCCAGACUCCUACGGGAGGCAGCAGUGGGGAAUAUUGGACAACGGGCGGAAGCCUGAUCCAGCCAUGCCGCGUGAGUGAUGAAGGCCUUCGGGUUGUAAAGCUCUUUCGCACACGACGAUGAUGACGGUAGUGUGAGAAGAAGCCCCGGCUAACUUCGUGCCAGCCGCCGCCGUAAGAC
rnacentral:rRNA from 1 species